CCGUAGGAUGAACCUGCGGAAGGAUCAUUG
rnacentral:rRNA from 1 species